rnacentral:misc_RNA from 1 species
GAUGAAGAACGCAGCGAAACGCGAUAUGUAAUGUGAAUUGCAGAAUUCAGUGAAUCAUCGAAUCUUUGAACGCACAUGGCGCCUUCCAGUAUCCUGGGAGGCAUGUCUGUCCGAGCGUCGUUUCAACCCUCGAGCCCUCGUGGCCCGGCGUUGGGGAUCUGCCACGGCAGGCCCCGAAAUACAGUGGCGGACCCGUUAGGCCCUUCCUUUGCGUAGUAGCAUCAGCCUCGCAUCGGGAGCCGGCGGGCUCUCCUGCCUCUAAACCCCCCAACAAGCCCGCUCCGGCGGCACCAAGGUUGACCUCGGAUCAGGUAGGAAUACCCGCUGAACUUAAGCAUAUCAAUAAGCGGAGGA